rnacentral:rRNA from 1 species
CCUACGGGUGGCAGCAGUGGGGAAUAUUGCACAAUGGGCGCAAGCCUGAUGCAGCCAUGCCGCGUGUGUGAAGAAGGCCUUCGGGUUGUAAAGCACUUUCAGCGGGGAGGAAGGCGGUGAGGUUAAUAACCUCAUCGAUUGACGUUACCCGCAGAAGAAGCACCGGCUAACUCCGUGCCAGCAGCCGCGGUAAUACGGAGGGUGCAAGCGUUAAUCGGAAUUACUGGGCGUAAAGCGCACGCAGGCGGUCUGUCAAGUCGGAUGUGAAAUCCCCGGGCUCAACCUGGGAACUGCAUUCGAAGCUGGCAGGCUAGAGUCUUGUAGAGGGGGGUAGAAUUCCAGGUGUAGCGGUGAAAUGCGUAGAGAUCUGGAGGAAUACCGGUGGCGAAGGCGGCCCCCUGGACAAAGACUGACGCUCAGGUGCGAAAGCGUGGGGAGCAAACAGGAUUAGAUACCCCUGUAGUC